GCGACGAAGAAAACUUUUUUGUCGCGUAAAUAUUUCUUGCGCGACGAAGGUCUGUAUUCGUCGCUCAAAUGUUAUUUGCAUGACGAAAUAAGACCUUCGUCGUGCAAGAAAUAUUUGUUUUUUAUUUUUUAUGUUUUCCUUCUUUAUUUUUAUGUACUGUAAAUUUUUAUUUUAUUAUAAAUAAAAAACUCAUACCUAAUUAAACAUUAAAUUAAUUAACAAAACUAAUGUACGCUCCCGACUAAAAAUUAUAAUUACUGCAAAUAUUAAUACUCAUCCACAUAACAUAUAUUUAUUCAUUAAAUUCAACAUGAAGUCCACAAAAUCUUAUUUAAAAAAAAUAUAUAAAAAAAAAACAACCCUCAUCAACUUCAAUCCUCCCUCGCCUGCAACACAUCAAACUUCCACUUCCGGAAUUUCUGCUUGAAAAGCCCAUCCACAUAAAUCCGUUGCUUCUCAUCGAUUUCAUCAA
rnacentral:lncRNA from 1 species